CUGAUGGCGACCGGCAAACGGGUGCGGAACACGUACAGAACCUUCCUCGGAGCGGGGGAUAGCCCAGAGAAAUUUGGAUUAAUACCCCAUAGUAUAACGAAGUGGCAUCGCUUUGUUAUUAAAGAUUUAUCACUUUGAGAUGGCUGUGCGUCUGAUUAGGUAGUUGGUGAGGUAACGGCUCACCAAGCCGACGAUCAGUAACUGGUGUGAGAGCACGACCAGUCACACGGGCACUGAGACACGGGCCCGACUCCUACGGGAGGCAGCAGUAAGGAAUAUUGGUCAAUGGACGCAAGUCUGAACCAGCCAUGCCGCGUGGAGGAUGAAGGUCCUCUGGAUUGUAAACUUCUUUUAUCUGGGACGAAAAAAGGGAAUUCUUUCUCGUCUGACGGUACCAGAUGAAUAAGCACCGGCUAACUCCGUGCCAGCAGCCGCGGUAAUACGGAGGGUGCAAGCGUUAUCCGGAUUCACUGGGUUUAAAGGGUGCGUAGGCGGGUGUGUAAGUCCGUGGUGAAAUCUCCGAGCUUAACUCGGAAACUGCCAUGGGUACUGCAUGUCUUGAAUGUUGUGGAGGUGAGCGGAAUAUGUCAUGUAGCGGUGAAAUGCUUAGAUAUGACAUAGAACACCAAU
rnacentral:rRNA from 1 species